rnacentral:rRNA from 1 species
UACGUAGGGUGCAAGCGUUGUCCGGAAUUAUUGGGCGUAAAGAGCUCGUAGGCGGUCUGUCGCGUCGGCUGUGAAAACCCGGAGCUCAACUCCGGACCUGCAGUCGAUACGGGCAAACUGGAGUACUGCAGGGGAGACUGGAAUCCUGGUGUAGCGGUGAAAUGCGCAGAUAUCAGGAGGAACACCGGUGGCGAAGGCGGGUCUCUGGGCAGUAACUGACGCUGGAGGAGCGAAAGCGUGGGGAGCGAACAGGA